rnacentral:rRNA from 1 species
UACGUAGGGUGCGAGCGUUAAUCGGAGUUACUGGGCGUAAAGUGUGCGCAGGCGGCAGAGCAAGUCGAGUGUGAAAGCCCCGGGCUUAACUUGGGAAUUGCGCUCGAAACUACUUUGCUGGAGUGUGGCAGAGGAAGGUGGAAUUCCACGUGUAGCGGUGAAAUGCGUAGAGAUGUGGAGGAACACCAAUGGCGAAGGCAGCCUUCUGGGCCAACACUGACGCUCAUGCACGAAAGCGUGGGGAGCAAACAGG